ACCGAGAUUCCCCCAGUAGCGGCGAGCGAACGGGGAGCAGCCCGGAGUCUGAAUCAGCUUGUGUGUUAGUGGAACGGUCUGGAAAGUCCGACGGUACAGGGUGAUAGUCCCGUACACGAAAGCACACUUGCUGUGAACUCGAAGAGUAGGGCGGGACACGUGGUAUCCUGUCUGAAUAUGGGGGGACCAUCCUCCAAGGCUAAAUACUCCUGACUGACCGAUAGUGAACCAGUACCGUGAGGGAAAGGC
rnacentral:rRNA from 1 species